AAUGAACGUUGGCAGCGUGGAUUAGGCAUGCAAGUCGCGCGACAAGGAUCCUUCGGGGUCCGGAGGAGCGGCAAACGGGGUAGUAAGGCAUCGGAACGUACCCUCUUGUCGGGAAUAGCCACGGGAAACUGUGAGUAAUGCCCGAUAAUCUCGAGAGAGCAAAGGUCCGCCGCAGGAGGAGCGGCCGAUGUGAUAUCAGCUAGUUGGUAGGGUAAUGGCCUACCAAGGCUUAGACGUCUAGGGGGUGUGAGAGCAUGGCCCCCACCACCUGGACGUGAGACACUGCCACGACACCUACCGGGUGGCGU
rnacentral:rRNA from 1 species